GCGGCGGCGCCCACCCGCUCCCCACGAAGCGCCGCGCGCACCAGCCGCUCCCAAUUCGCCUCCGCCCGCGACAUUUCGGAGACGAGACCUCGAGAACACGACAACUACUCACAAUCCUGAAAUCGAAUCCCCAAACCACGGACCAUCAACACCGAUUCCGAAGCUUCUUCCCGAACCACAAGCCAAAAAAAAAAAAAGGAUUUAGAAGCUAAUCUCUACCAAAAAUGGCGAUCACAAACAAGGAAACCCUAGAUGAAGAGAGCCCUUACCACGGGGAAACGAUCGAAGAACACGAAAUCAGCGAAAAGAAACGGAUCGAACGAGAGCAAAAGAGGGGGGGA
rnacentral:lncRNA from 1 species